rnacentral:misc_RNA from 1 species
UACGUAGGGGGCAAGCGUUGUCCGGAAUUAUUGGGCGUAAAGCGCGCGCAGGCGGUCCUUUAAUUCUGAUGUGAAAUCUUGCGGCUCAACCGCAAGCGGUCAUUGGAAACUGGCGGGCUUGAGUACAGACGAGGUAGGCGGAAUUGACAAUGUAGCGGUGAAAUGCAUAGAUAUUAUCAGGAACUCCGAUUGCGAAGGCAGCUUACUAGGCUGUAACUGACGCUGAGGAGCGAAAGCAUGGGGAGCGAACAGG